ACGGCCACAUGAUGUUGAAACACCCGUUCCCAUAAGAUCAGCGAAGUUAAGCAACUUCGAGUCUGGUUAGUAGGUAGAUUGCUGAGCCCUUGGGAAUACCAGGUGCUGUAAG